UGUGUUCUUGCAUUUUUAUAUUUCGAUUAGUGCACACAAGUCAUUGCCACAACAUGCAAAAUCUAUAUAUAUAAAAAGAAGGUAAUUGAAAGAUACAUUCUUACAAAUCCAAAACUUUUUGCCCAAUCAAGAUAAAAGCGGACAGUUCAUUUGACAUCAAUUCAUACGAUUGAUCCAUGGAUUAUAUGAGGAUGAACAAACUUUAAAUGACAAAAAAAUGAUCUUGAUUAUGAAGUCAUCUAGCUCAAACACCCACAAGACAAACAUGGCGAUUUACUAUGUAUUGGAUAUGGAUUCAAAUUUUUUUCAGAUAUCCGGCACUCUAAGUUGCAGAAUUCAUGAUUUAUUUACAGCUCGUUCCAAUCUGAUCAGCAAUUCCAGUUUCAAUGGCUAACAAAGACAACACAUACGCUGAUUCUUUAUUUGGGGAAAUAAGACUAUUCAGAGUGUAAGAGUAAAUGUGCAGAUUGUGCAGCAGUGGUCGUGAUGAAUGUUGGAAAGCUUUGCAAGUGACUUUGCCAUGCCAACUAUGGUGGCAUUGAUUGCAAUGUCUUAGUUCCAAAUAUGGCAUCAUCGGGUUGCUUGUAAUGAGAUA